CGGUGGAGCAUGUGGUUAAUUCGAAGCAACGCGAAGAACCUUACCAGGCCUUGACAUGCAGAGAACUUUCCAGAGAUGGAUUGGUGCCUUCGGGAACUCUGACACAGGUGCUGCAUGGCUGUCGUCAGCUCGUGUCGUGAGAUGUUGGGUUAAGUCCCGUAACGAGCGCAACCCUUGUCCUUAGUUACCAGCACGUUAUGGUGGGCACUCUAAGGAGACUGCCGGUGACAAACCGGAGGAAGGUGGGGGAUGACGUCAAGUCAUCAUGGCCCUUACGGCCUGGGCUACACACGUGCUACAAUGGUCGGUACAAAGGGUUGCCAAGCCGCGAGGUGGAGCUAAUCCCAUAAAACCGAUCGUAGUCCGGAUCGCAGUCUGCAACUCGACUGCGUGAAGUCGGAAUCGCUAGUAAUCGUGAAUCAGAAUGUCACGGUGAAUACGUUCCCGGGCCUU
rnacentral:rRNA from 1 species